CACGGAGUUAGCCGGAGCUUAUUCUCCCGGUACUGUCAUUAUCAUCCCGGGUAAAAGAGCUUUACAACCCUAAGGCCUUCAUCACUCACGCGGCAUUGCUGGAUCAGGCUUGCGCCCAUUGUCCAAUAUUCCCCACUGCUGCCUCCCGUAGGAGUCUGGGCCGUGUCUCAGUCCCAGUGUGGCUGAUCAUCCUCUCAGACCAGCUAAGGAUCGUCGCCUUGGUGCGCUCUUACCACACCAACUAGCUAAUCCUACGCGGGCUCAUCCUCAGGCGAUAAAUCUUUGGACUUAACGUCAUCAUCCGGUAUUAGCAGUCGUUUCCAACUGUUAUUCCGAACCUGAGGGCAGAUUCCCACGCGUUACGCACCCGUGCGCCACUAUGCCCGAAAGCAUCGUUCGACUUGCAUGUGUUAGGCAUGCCGCCAGCGUUCGUUCUGAGCCAGGAUCAAACUCU
rnacentral:rRNA from 1 species